CAGGCUGUCCACUACAUGUCAGCUGUGAAAUUCUUCAGUGAAGGUGUCUUCCUGCAUGAGCUUCUAUGCUUGUUAUGAGUUGAGAGCAACGGUACAAUUCGUGCGGCACAACGAUCCGUUUCGGCACUGUAGGGCCCGAGGCUGGGAGGCUAGCUGGUAGUGAGUACUGGUGAUGGUACAAUCGUGUGGAGUGCAGUGUUGUUUGGAUUCACGUUUUACUCUGUGUGAGUGGGUGUGAGUGUGUGCGUGGGAUGCACUAGCGUACAGAUAGGAUCUUCGCUUCAGCUAGCCUGCCUUUGCUGCUGGAAAGCCUGUGCCUGUUUAUUUGGUUGUUUUCCUUUGUGAGUAUGCUUAAAUUGUUUCUUUAUCUGGUGUAGUAUACAGAGCUGCCGAUAUAUGGUGUUUAAUUGUGAUCCGACACGUGACAUUGAUGCCCUUGAGUGUUUUAAUAAUUUGUUGUGACAAUUUGAAU